rnacentral:rRNA from 1 species
UCUGGUUGAUCCUGCCAGUAGUCAUAUGCUUGUCUCAAAGAUUAAGCCAUGCAUGUCUAAGUAUAAGCAAUUUAUACAGUGAAACUGCGAAUGGCUCAUUAAAUCAGUUAUCGUUUAUUUGAUAGUUCCUUUACUACAUGGUAUAACUGUGGUAAUUCUAGAGCUAAUACAUGCUUAAAAUCUCGACCCUUUGGAAGAGAUGUAUUUAUUAGAUAAAAAAUCAAUGUCUUCGGACUCUUUGAUGAUUCAUAAUAAUUUUUCGAAUCGCAUGGCCUUGUGCUGGCGAUGGUUCAUUCAAAUUUCUGCCCUAUCAACUUUCGAUGGUAGGAUAGUGGCCUACCAUGGUUUCAACGGGUAACGGGGAAUAAGGGUUCGAUUCCGGAGAGGGAGCCUGAGAAACGGCUACCACAUCCAAGGAAGGCAGCAGGCGCGCAAAUUACCCAAUCCUAAUUCAGGGAGGUAGUGACAAUAAAUAACGAUACAGGGCCCAUUCGGGUCUUGUAAUUGGAAUGAGUACAAUGUAAAUACCUUAACGAGGAACAAUUGGAGGGCAAGUCUGGUA